AGUAGAGACAGGGUUUCACCACAUGGACCAGGCUGGUCUCAAACUCCUGACCUCAGGUGAUCUGCCUGCCUCAGCCUCCCAAAGUGCUGGGAUUACAGGCAUGAGCCACUGUGCCCGGCCUCAUAUACCAUAAUAUAAUCCAGAAAGAUCUUGACCAUUUUGGUGCCUCAGGGAAGAUACUGAUCCAUUACACCGAUGACAUAACAAGUGGACCUAAAGAGAUCAGGAAGUGUUGAGAAUGAUAUGCCUAGUAUGAUAUGAAUAUGGUGUUUAGGUUAUCGGGGAUUUCCUACCUAAAGUGAUAGACAAGUUGCUGCACUUUAGACUACUCCCAACUAAGAGAGAGAAUCUUUAUUGGGUCCGUUUGGAUUGAGGGGGAUGGUUGCAAAAUAAAUCACAUUUGAGUGUGCUUCUCUGUCCCGUUUACUGAGUAACCUGUAAGACUUGAGUGGAGUCUGUCAGAGUUUUCAGUAGAGCCUGGAGAAAGAACAGACUUGGCAGCAGAUCCAAGUUGUAGUCCCAAGUUGUUCUGGCACUUGCUCUGUAUGACCUAGCAAAUCUAAGUAGAUUUGAGGUGUUAGUGGCAGACAGAGAUGCUCUAUGAUGCUGCAAAAGAAAAAUUGUAGUGCACUAGGGAUUUGAAAUUAAUGACCUCUUCUGCUGACAUCUGUUAUCUAUUUAAAAAUUAGGUCUGGUUUGCUACUCGACCCUGGUAGAAUACCUGAGCAUGGAACAUCAACUUUCUUUGCAACUGAAUCUGUUUACUAUAAACUUGAUGUUAUCUGAUCUAUAAAAUUAUAAAAUUAGAUGUGUGCCACAGCAUUCCAUUCUAAAAUGGAAACGGUUUAUACAAAAUUGGACCAGAGAAUAUCCAGAAAAUACAAGUAAGCUGUUUAAGCAUGUAGAUUCCCAUGGAAUAUAUUUAGGUGUAUUCUCUUACUGCCUCACUGUUUCUCUUGUAAUCAGUUGUCUUGGGGAGUUCGUUAUAUCAGCUAAUGGAAGAGGGAAAAGUGCAUUAUGGAUGGAACUACAUACUAUACUGGCAUCAGCUGAAAAUGGACAGAGGUAGAGGGAAGACAGUGGUAAAGGGAAGUCCUCCCAGUGGGCAGAACUUAAGAUAAUAUCCCCUUGCAUGCAAGAAGAGAUGGCCUAAAGUAGAGACUUACACUGAUUGAUGAGCAGGCAGAAAAGGUGGUGUCUCCAGGUAUUCACAUCACCUUGAAAUGGCUAAUGGAUUGGUACCAGCUGGCCAGAGAUUUGGAAGGAACAAGCAUGGAAGACGGGAUACUUCUUCAAGGUUGGAAGACGAUAUUUCAAGCAUGGAUAUGUGGAUAGAACCGCAACAAAAGAGGCCUUUGCUGAGCAGCUAAUGUGACACUAUUCCCUAAGGGUACGUUAGAUGUCUCCCAUCAUGCAAAGGGCAGCAGUUUGUCAUCCCAGGGAUAGACAUGUAUUAUGGGUAUGGAGUUGUCUUUCUUACCUACAGUAUAUCUGCCAGCAUUACCAUUCAUGGGCUUGCAGAAUGCCUUAUCUAUCAGUGUGAUAUCCCAUACCAUAUAGAGAUUAAGGUACUGUCCUACAAGAUGUAGUUUAUAUCUUAAAUCUAUCAGUAUAUAGUGCUAUCUCUUCCAUAGCCAGAACGGAUAGGUCAAGAAAUCAAGUGAUGGAGAUGGAGCCUACUACAUUGAAAAUUCUGCCAGUUAACCCACUGAAAACAUUUUUAUUUCCCCUGCUUUUGACCUGCUUUUGAGUUUGGUGACUUUGGAGGUCCUAGUUCCUAAGGAAGUAAUGUUUCUCUCAGGGAGUUCAACCUUGGUUCCAUCUAAAUUGAAAUCUUGAGUCAGUUCUCUGAUCACUUUGAGCUCAUUCUACUGCUGAACCAGCAGGCGGAAAACGUGGUUUCUCCAGAUACAUCACCUUUACCAUCCAAUUUGAGCUCUGUGCUUCAGAUAUCUUGCUCUAUCAAAAGAAAAUAUCCAGAAAGAAGCACCAAAAAAGGAAAAGAACAAAUACGUGUACAAGCCGUAGGAGCUAGUUAAGAGUUCUUUUCUUUUUAGAGACAGUCUCCUCUGUUGCCCAGGCAAGAGUGCAGUGGCACGAUCAUAGCUCAUUGCAGCCUGGGACUUCUAGGCUCAAGUGAUCUGGCCUCAGCCUUCGGAGUAGCUAGGCCAACAGGCGUGUGUUACACCCGGCUUACUUUUUUUUUUUUUUUUUUUUUUUGGUAGAGACUGGAUCAAGAUACCAAGCCACAGAUUAAAGUAUCCCUGUAAACUUACACAAAAUAAAAAUUUAAAAGUUACACCUAAGAAUGUCAUAGUAUUACUGAAUACCAAAGAUAAAAAGAGCAUCAUAAAAGCAGCAGAAAAGGUGUAACACUAACAGUUAACUUCUUAACAACCAUAGAAUCUAGAAGACAAUAGAGUUAUACUUUGAAAGAGCUUCAAGUUCUGUACUCAGCAAUUAUAUCAUCACAAUAUGAAGGUGAAACAAAAAGUUUCCUCCGCCACCACCAGCAAUAAAAUACUGACAGAAAGAAUUGAUCACUAGCUCACCCACACAUCACACAGAAAGUAAAGAAUCCAUGGAUGAGACUUGAAGAUGAAGGAAGGAAUGGCAGUCAACAGACGGGAACUGUGAAAAUGAAUGCAGAGAAUGGACAGCAGAGGGAGCCCUUGAUGAGUUUUGACCGUCAAGAAGUGGCCAUGAUGUGCUAGCAAUUGUGCCUGUCCUCACAAUGCUCUGUGAGCUUGCUGCUUUAUUCCUUCCUCUUUACAAGAUGAAGAAAGUAAGGCUCAGAGAACUACCCCAGGUUGAAUUACACAACUGCUCUACUCUUCUAGAGAUGCCAAAAUGGAACCAAAUCUCCAUGAACUCUGCUAAUGGAAGACGAGGAAAAGGCAGGACCCAGGCAGAUGAAGUACAUGGCCAGUCCUUCGGAAGUGACUCGGACCACUUCUGCCCACAUUUCAUGAACAAAGCAAGCCACAUGGCAUAUGGGAGUUCAACAGUGUGGGUGACCUAAGCAAACCCAAAUGGACCAAAUGCAAAGCUGAUGGAAUCUUAAGUGCUCAGACCAAGGAAUGGGGACACCACAUGGCAUGAUCCAAUCAGAUUUAGCCCUGGAAAGAUCAUCCCAUGGCAAGAUCCAGUUAGAUCACACUUCCUGGCAUCACCUUAUUGCAAGAUCCAAGAUCAUGCCUUUACCUUCUGCCUAUAAAACCUGCCCCAGCCCCCAGCUCCAGGAGACAGAUUUGAGCCAGUCUCCUGUCUUUUCUCUGCAGCCUUGCAAUAAACUUUUCUUUCUACAAAAACCCAGUGCUUUGGUGUUUGGAUUUUUU